UGCCCAGCAACUCCUAUCCCUAUACCUCCUUACGGUACUGGCCGGGGUACGAGUGACCUUAGGAAAGAUCGGGUAACCAACCCCUGUGGGAACACUGGUCGUAUGCUGACAGGCAAGG
rnacentral:ribozyme from 1 species